GAAUAUUGGACAAUGGGGGGGAACCCUGAUCCAGCCAUGCCGCGUGUGUGAAGAAGGCCUUUUGGUUGUAAAGCACUUUAAGCGAGGAGGAGGCUACUCUAGUUAAUACCUAGAGAUAGUGGACGUUACUCGCAUCAUAAGCCCCGGCUAACGCUGUGACAGCAGCCGCGGUAAUACAGAGGGUGCAAGCGUUAAUCGGAUUUACUGGGCGUAAAGCGCGCGUAGUUGGACAAUUAAGUCAAAUGUGAAAUACCCGAGCUUAACUUGGGAAUUGCAUUCGAUACUGGUUGGCUAGAGUAUGGGAGAGGAUGGUAGAAUUCCAGGUGUAGCGGUGAAAUGCGUAGAGAUCUGGAGGAAUACCGAUGGCGAAGGCAGCCAUCUGGCCUAAUACUGACACUGAGGUGCGAAAGCAUGGGGAGCAAACA
rnacentral:rRNA from 1 species